rnacentral:rRNA from 1 species
CAGUCGCCGCGGUAAUACAGAGGGUGCGAGCGUUAAUCGGAUUUACUGGGCGUAAAGCGUGCGUAGGCGGCUUCUUAAGUCGGAUGUGAAAUCCCUGAGCUUAACUUAGGAAUUGCAUUCGAUACUGGGAAGCUAGAGUAUGGGAGAGGAUGGUAGAAUUCCAGGUGUAGCGGUGAAAUGCGUAGAGAUCUGGAGGAAUACCGAUGGCGAAGGCAGCCAUCUGGCCUAAUACUAACGCUGAGGUACGAAAGCAUGGGGAGCAAACAGGAUUAGAUACCCCUGUAGUCCCUGUCUCUUAUAC